UACGUAGGACCCAAGCGUUAUCCGGAGUGACUGGGCGUAAAGAGUUGCGUAGGCGGUCAAAUAAGCGAAUAGUGAAACCUGGUGGCUCAACCAUACAGACUAUUAUUCGAACUGUUUGACUCGAGAAUGGUAGAGGUAGCUGGAAUUUCUAGUGUAGGAGUGAAAUCCGUAGAUAUUAGAAGGAACACCGAUGGCGUAGGCAGGCUACUGGACCAUUUCUGACGCUGAGGCACGAAAGCGUGGGGAGCGAACCGG
rnacentral:rRNA from 1 species